AUAAUUCCUUUUUUAUACCAAAAUUCAAAACCAACAACGAGAAGUCGAGAACUAUAGUAAGAUUGUAAAAAUCAGAGUGAAAUGUAAAUAGAAAAUAUGCGUCAAUGACAUUUAUCUGAGAGUUAUAGUCUAUUCCCUAUUUGAAUAUUUAGCUUUUAUCCUGAAUUAUUCUUUUGGAUGCUUUACAUUGUCAACAUGAAUUAGUUGCAGCAACUUUUAUCCCACAC
rnacentral:lncRNA from 1 species